rnacentral:rRNA from 1 species
GACGAACGCUGGCGGCGUGCCUAAUACAUGCAAGUUGAGCGCUGAAGGUUGGUACUUGUACCAACUGGAUGAGCAGCGAACGGGUGAGUAACGCGUGGGGAAUCUGCCUUUGAGCGGGGGACAACAUUGGAAACGAAUGCUAAUACCGCAUAAAAACUUUAAACACAAGUUUUAAGUUUGAAAGGUGCAAUUGCAUCACUCAAAGAUGAUCCCGCGUUGUAUUAGCUAGUUGGUGAGGUAAAGGCUCACCAAGGCGAUGAUACAUAGCCGACCUGAGAGGGUGAUCGGCCACAUUGGGACUGAGACACGGCCCAAACUCCUACGGGAGGCAGCAGUAGGGAAUCUUCGGCAAUGGACGAAAGUCUGACCGAGCAACGCCGCGUGAGUGAAGAAGGUUUUCGGAUCGUAAAACUCUGUUGGUAGAGAAGAACGUUGGUGAGAGUGGAAAGCUCAUCAAGUGACGGUAACUACCCAGAAAGGGACGGCUAACUACGUG